CGAUGUUUCUCCAAUGGAGUUUGGUGAUGGUAAUGACGAUGUUUUGAGAAACAUCGUCAUUGCCAUCAUCAUGCUCCAGUUGAGAAACACCAUC
rnacentral:pre_miRNA from 1 species